GACGAACGCUGGCGGCGUGCUUAACACAUGCAAGUCGAACGGAAAGGCCCUGCUUGCAGGGUACUCGAGUGGCGAACGGGUGAGUAACACGUGGGUGAUCUGCCCUGCACUUCGGGAUAAGCCUGGGAAACUGGGUCUAAUACCGGAUAGGAGCCAUUUUUAGUGUGAUGGUUGGAAAGUUUUUUCGGUGUAGGAUGAGCUCGCGGCCUAUCAGCUUGUUGGUGGGGUAAUGGCCUACCAAGGCGGCGACGGGUAGCCGGCCUGAGAGGGCGGACGGCCACAUUGGGACUGAGAUACGGCCCAGACUCCUACGGGAGGCAGCAGUGGGGAAUAUUGCACAAUGGGCGCAAGCCUGAUGCAGCGACGCCGCGUGGGGGAUGACGGCCUUCGGGUUGUAAACUCCUUUCGCUAGGGACGAAGCUUUUUGUGACGGUACCUAGAUAAGAAGCACCGGCUAACUACGUGCCAGCAGCCGCGGUAAUACGUAGGGUGCGAGCGUUGUCCGGAAUUACUGGGCGUAAAGGGCUCGUAGGUGGUUUGUCGCGUCGUCUGUGAAAUUCCGGGGCUUAACUCCGGGCGUGCAGGCGAUACGGGCAUAACUUGAGUACUGUAGGGGUAACUGGAAUUCCUGGUGUAGCGGUGAAAUGCGCAGAUAUCAGGAGGAACACCGAUGGCGAAGGCAGGUUACUGGGCAGUUACUGACGCUGAGGAGCGAAAGCAUGGGUAGCGAACAGGAUUAGAUACCCUGGUAGUCCACGCCGUAAACGAUGAGUGCUAAGUGUUAGGGGGUUUCCGCCCCUUAGUGCUGCAGCUAACGCAUUAAGCACUCCGCCUGGGGAGUACGACCGCAAGGUUGAAACUCAAAGGAAUUGACGGGGACCCGCACAAGCGGUGGAGCAUGUGGUUUAAUUCGAAGCAACGCGAAGAACCUUACCAAAUCUUGACAUCCUCUGAUCCCUCUAGAGAUAGAGGUUUCCCCUUCGGGGGACAGAGUGACAGGUGGUGCAUGGUUGUCGUCAGCUCGUGUCGUGAGAUGUUGGGUUAAGUCCCGCAACGAGCGCAACCCUUAAGCUUAGUUGCCAUCAUUAAGUUGGGCACUCUAAGUUGACUGCCGGUGACAAACCGGAGGAAGGUGGGGAUGACGUCAAAUCAUCAUGCCCCUUAUGAUUUGGGCUACACACGUGCUACAAUGGACAAUACAAAGGGCAGCGAAACCGCGAGGCCAAGCAAAUCCCAUAAAGUUGUUCUCAGUUCGGAUUGUAGUCUGCAACUCGACUAUAUGAAGCUGGAAUCGCUAGUAAUCGUAGAUCAGCAUGCUACGGUGAAUACGAACCGGGGUCU
rnacentral:rRNA from 1 species